rnacentral:rRNA from 1 species
AGUGAACGCUGGCGGUAGGCCUAACACAUGCAAGUUGAACGGCAGCACAGUAAGAGCUUGCUCUUACGGGUGGCGAGUGGCGGACGGGUGAGGAAUACAUCGGAAUCUACUUUUUCGUGGGGGAUAACGUAGGGAAACUUACGCUAAUACCGCAUACGACCUACGGGUGAAAGCAGGGGAUCUUCGGACCUUGCGCGAUUGAAUGAGCCGAUGUCGGAUUAGCUAGUUGGCGGGGUAAAGGCCCACCAAGGCGACGAUCCGUAGCUGGUCUGAGAGGAUGAUCAGCCACACUGGAACUGAAACACGGUCCAGACUCCUACGGGAGGCAGCAGUGGGGAAUAUUGGACAAUGGGCGCAAGCCUGAUCCAGCCAUACCGCGUGGGUGAAGAAGGCCUUCGGGUUGUAAAGCCCUUUUGUUGGGAAAGAAAAGCAGCAGGUUAAUACCCCGCUGUUCUGACGGUACCCAAAGAAUAAGCACCGGCUAACUUCGUG